AUCCAUGCCUCCAUGGGAGCUGCCCUGUGGCUGUUUCCCUUCCUAGCAUGGCAGAGCAGUUCCUUGCUAAUUGGCAAAACUUAUACCCUCCCGUGGGUAUUAGUCGUUGACUGUAGCAAGUAACACGC